CUUGGCUCUCUCUCUGGCCCACUUUCCAGCCAUGGCAGCAGCACACCACUGAGAAGAAUGCGGAAUAAGAACAGACGAUUAAUGAGUUGGAGUUUGCGGUUGCAGACCUUCAAUGUGGAAGUCAGAUACAUCUGUGGCAGGGAUAAUGUUCUGGCUGAUGCACAUACUGGGGUAAGUUGUAACAAUUAGACAAGAGGCAAGAAUGGAUGACAUACAGUGUGAUUUGCUUCAAAAACGGGUAUAGUGAAAUAAAAGAACAAUGUCUUCUCUGUAAGUGUUUGAAGUGAGCUGGUAUUCACAGGUAUGCAGUAUACAUUGGUGCCGAUACACAUGCCAACAUGUGAACAACAGAGGAGUACUUUUCACAGUGCUGACAAAUUAAUGCUGGUAACCCUGGAGUGCAGGCCCAGAGACUGCAUAGGAUUAUUUAAAGAAGUGUUACAACCCACCCCUUGUCAGCCAUUGUUUAGCUAGCUGUGUUAGCAUAGUGGUUUGAAAUUAGCAGAGGAAAAUGCAUCACAUGUUGCCUAAGAAAUGACAAUUUAAUCUAAGUCAUACAUUUCUAUUUGCAAUAGUGUGUAUAUACGAAACAAAAUACAGUCUCCAAAAAUGUCUUGCCUCAAAAUCUAAAUUUUCUCUAUACAUUCUGAAUGUGCCUGUUUCCAGCCUUGACCACCACCAUGUGUGAUUGGAAUGAAGUACGUAAAUACUCAAAUCAUCUCAUGACUCAUAUCUUAUCUGUAACUGGUGGAAUUGGUGGUUUACAACCCUACGCGGUCUACCCUAUACAUAAAUGACAAUUUUUUCUUUUCUGUAACUGAAAUGGUUAUCACAUCACUGCAAACAAUUUCCACUCAUAUAGGAUUUAAAAAAAAAUCUUGCAUCUGCUUGCUGCUGGGAAAUUCCACUUGUCAACAUGAGAGGAAUUUAAUUACUUUUGACCUUUUCUUAACUUCCCCCCCAACCCUUAAUGUCUUUGAUGAACUAAUGGUGUUUAAAAUGUAUUGAUGUUCUUCUUGAGCAUUUGUUCUUAACACACUUGUAUUGAGCAGAUACAGUAAUGACCUUUCUUACUGCAAAGCACAGGUGAAUAUUAAUUAUGCCCCUAAUGCAUUUAGUUGUCCCAGUUACAAGGCUUCACAAUACUGUGGGACAAGUGUGAAAGCACUUUUGUGCAGUAAUGUAAAUGCUUCAAGUUAAAUCUACUUUUCCCAGAAAUAGCAUCAUUACAUUUUAUACUGCACUUUACUUACGGACAGUGAAUGACCAAGUGAAUGUUGUCAGCAUGUGAUAACUUUAAACAAACUUGUUUUGCACUCUGUCCAUUGGAUUUAACUCCAACGGUCUAUCAAAGUGUGAGAACAAGCAGGUGGGCUCUGUAGACAUUGGCCAAAUCAAAUCUCCGCCCUGAAGCCAAAGCCCUGAACCCUCUGCCUCUGUCCGAGAGGCUGCAAGGGCCCGAAAUGGUACAAUGGGCCAGCACUGCAACAUGCCAAAACAACUGUGGGUUAGGUACAUUUUUAUUUUACAGACUGGCCCCCAGUCUUUUGUUUUUUAAAUUGUGACUUAAACGUAUUUUUAUUCCAUGGCUUUUAAUCUGGCAUGAGAGCUGUAUGUUGUAUUUGUUUGGUGUUUUUUGUCUAUUUAUUGUUUCAAGUCAAUGUACAACACUUUGAUAAACCUGUUUGUUUAAAAUGUGCUUAGAAAUAAAGAGAUUGGAUUUUGUACUUUAUUUAUGGCCGAGGCACUGAAAGGACUCUUAUUUGAACAUGUUCCAGGCUCUUGAGUAAAAUCAUUAUUUUAAAAUGACCUCUACCUUUGGACGAGAGGUCAUUUUCAAAUAAUCACUGUUCUUGUUUUUAUCAGAACAGGAUCAUACACUUAGAUGUAUACUUUUUUCCUUGUAGUUGCUCCUUCCAUGUUUGUUUAUGCCAGCUCUCCUGGAAACCCCGUUAUUAAUGUCACAACACUAUGAACUGUGGGUAAUUCCGUCAGGCAAAGUCUGCAGAGCCCACAAAGGGCUCAAAAGGUCUGCGAGAGAGAGCCCUCAUGUGCUUGACAAUUUGACAGUGGGACAGCCCAUGCCCUCAUGGACUUACCGGGAAUGUACCUCUGAGUCCAUGAGUGUGGAGAUUGGGAUUCAGCCAUAGACUACAACAUGAGAUGAUUAGAGAUCAGCCAAGUGCAACAGUUUUUUUUUUUCUUUCUUUUUUUUUUUGUCCAAGUCAGACAGAAGGGAGAUUUAGAUUUGCAUAUAUGUUUAAAACAGAAAAUCAAGAAGUAAGCUCUAUUUAAAUGUUGCAGUGAGACAGAAGGAGAGCCGUGUUUUGAAAAGGCAUCAGAACAACUUGAUGGACCAUGAAGGCGCAUUGCUCAGCCGCCAGCCCCGGACACACAUGGAUGGCAGUCACACAGUCUACUUUCACUGAGGCAAAACCGAUAGUCUCCUUUUGUUUUCAUGAAUCCAGUGCUGCUUGGCCUUUCCUUCCAUCUUGUGUUCCUGUCAGUUUCAAGCUCAACCUGACUGAGCUGGUCUGAUGCUCAGGAAGCCGUUUGUACAAGUUGCCCGCCUCAUACAGGAAGUGCUUUGUUUCUCUCUGCAAAUAUUUCAUCACCCUGCCUGCAGGCUCCAACAGCCCCCUGCUAUUCUGAAAAGGACACACAUCUGCCUUAUAUGAUGAUGCAGUAUAUCUUUCACACACUACAGCUGUUUUGUAACCACUCCUUUUAAUCCACCUUAUUUUGCAGCACUACCAUGUUUUUCUGUUUCACUGCAUUCAUACAUAAAACUACUCUUACGCUGACAUACUUGCAGGUACUGACAUAUUUGACUUAAUUGCAUGAAUGUAUGCUGUAAGAUACUGUGAUUUUGAAGAUUCAAAUCCAAAUUAGUCACUCACAGUUAACAGCUGUUCAAGUGUUUUACUUGUAGAUUAAUCUUGGAAAUUAAAUUCUGUUCUGCUCUUA